rnacentral:lncRNA from 1 species
GAUCACAGGAGGGGCACGUGAGCGAGGCCCGUCGUGCAAGAGGAAAUCGAAUCGCGGAGCGGUUCCAGAAGGCUGUGCAGAGAGGUGAGAAGUGGAAGUUCCAGAUCCUGCAGAAGAUGCGGGGGUCCCCCUUGGUGUCUGCUGUGGGCGUCAGAAGGAAAGAAGCUCAUGCUCAGGACACAAGUACCCGGAUUUUGCACCGUGUGGAUGUACCAUCGAGAGAAUGACGGGCUAACAUUGGGCUGCGACUCCACCGAACCGGAAAGUGAUGCCCGAAGAUACUGGAGAAGCACAUCAAGGAAUGAAUGGAAGCAAACGUUUUCCGCUGACCUGAUGGACUGAGAGCGAAAGAAGGCGAGUUCCCAGUGAGGGUUUCCCGCUCGUGAGAGGAGCACGAGGUGAUGUCGUGGAGAGAGUGAGAUGCGACAGGGAGGGAGACAUGGCCCCGAAGCUGUGGGACGUCCCGCAGACACACUCACGCCCACACAGACACGCCUGCACACGUGCCCGAGGCGUGCACUCGCGCGCGCGCACACACACACACACACACACUCGUGUGUAGG